AGAGUUUGAUCAUGGCUCAGGAUGAACGCUAGCGGCAAGCUUAAUACAUGCAAGUCGAGGGGCAGCGCAGUGUAGCAAUACAUGGGCGGCGACCGGCAAACGGGUGCGGAACACGUACAGAACCUUCCUUCGAGCGGGGAAUAGCCCAGAGAAAUUUGGAUUAAUACCCCAUAGUAUAUUGGAGUGGCAUCACUCUGAUAUUAAAGAUUUAUCACUUGAAGAUGGCUGUGCGGCUGAUUAGAUAGUUGGCGGGGUAACGGCCCACCAAGUCUGCGAUCAGUAACUGGUGUGAGAGCACGACCAGUCACACGGGCACUGAGACACGGGCCCGACUCCUACGGGAGGCAGCAGUAAGGAAUAUUGGUCAAUGGACGAAAGUCUGAACCAGCUAUGCCGCGUGGAGGAUGAAGGCCCUCUGGGUUGUAAACUUCUUUUAUAUGGGACGAAAAAGGGUCUUUCUAGAUCAACUGACGGUACCAUGUGAAUAAGCACCGGCUAACUCCGUGCCAGCAGCCGCGGUAAUACGGAGGGUCCAAGCGUUAUCCGGAAUCAUUGGGUUUAAAGGGUCCGUAGGCGGUUUAAUAAGUCAGUGGUGAAAGCCCAUCGCUCAACGAUGGAACGGCCAUUGAUACUGUUAAACUUGAAUUAUUAGGAAGUAACUAGAAUAUGUAGUGUAGCGGUGAAAUGCUUAGAGAUUACAUGGAAUACCAAUUGCGAAGGCAGGUUACUACUAAUAUAUUGACGCUGAUGGACGAAAGCGUGGGGAGCGACCAGGAUUAGAUACCCUGGUAGUCCACGCCGUAAACGAUGGAUACUAGCUGUUCGGAGCAAUCUGAGUGGCUAAGCGAAAGUGAUAAGUAUCCCACCUGGGGAGUACGUUCGCAAGAAUGAAACUCAAAGGAAUUGACGGGGGCCCGCACAAGCGGUGGAGCAUGUGGUUUAAUUCGAUGAUACGCGAGGAACCUUACCAAGGCUUAAAUGGGAAACGACAGGUUUGGAAACAGACUUUUCUUCGGACGUUUUUCAAGGUGCUGCAUGGUUGUCGUCAGCUCGUGCCGUGAGGUGUCAGGUUAAGUCCUAUAACGAGCGCAACCCCUGUCGUUAGUUGCCAGCGAGUCAUGUCGGGAACUCUAACGAGACUGCCAGUGUAAACUGUGAGGAAGGUGGGGAUGACGUCAAAUCAUCACGGCCCUUACGCCUUGGGCCACACACGUGCUACAAUGGCCAGUACAGAGAGCAGCCACUUAGUGAUAAGGAGCGAAUCUUCAAAACUGGUCUCAGUUCGGAUCGGAGUCUGCAACUCGACUCCGUGAAGCUGGAAUCGCUAGUAAUCGGAUAUCAGCCAUGAUCCGGUGAAUACGUUCCCGGGCCUUGUACACACCGCCCGUCAAGCCAUGGAAGCUGGGGGUACCUGAAGUCGGUCGCCGCAAGGAGCUGCCUAGGGUAAAACUGGUAACUAGGGCUAAGUCGUAACAAGGUA
rnacentral:rRNA from 1 species